CGCUCCUCAAGCUUGAACAUCUUACAUCCACAUUGCUAAAUCUCCUCCAACAAGAACUACAACAAACAUGUACAAAAUAAAUAACUUAGUAAAGAUAAUCCAUUAUGCCCAAUCUCCAAUACUUUUUCAUUGAUUAGGCUUGUGAUCCAUCUAGUUGGCACUGUCGAAGUCCUUAUAUAAAGACCCAACGGGUGAAUAUGGCAAGGGAUUAAAACAUUUUCAAGUCUCAAGCCCAAGUUAAGAUACACUCCUAAGUUUGCUUCCACCUUCUCUAACCCCCUCCCACCUUGUUACCUAUUUUGUUCGCUCCUCAAGCUUGAACAUCUUACAUCCACAUUGCUAAAUCUCCUCCAACAAGAACUACAACAAACAUGUACAAAAUAAAUAACUUAGUAAAGAUAAUCCAUUAUGCCCAAUCUCCAAUACUUUCAUUCAUAAAAAACUUGAUAAUUGCUAACUUCAUAAAAAGGUCUUGAGCUCAAAUCAAGCUUAAGAAUGAUAAUUUCAUGUUUGGUAGAUUGUGUUCUUGUUGUGUCAAACUUAGACACCUUGACUAAGUCAAUCCAAACAUGACAUGNNNNNNNNGACUCAAUUAACUUAUUUAUUCAUAAUCAAAUUUUAAAUAAGCCAAAUUUGAGUAAAGUAGGUUAUAGUUAUAAUCAAGCCAAUAAACACAAUUAUUGAACAUUUCAAUUUAGGUUAAAUUUGUGUUGUGCAAGUUGACAAAAAAAAAACCUAUUUAUCAAAUAGGCGAUGUAAGUUGACAUGAAUUUGACCCAAACAAGAUUAUACUUAACCUAAAUUUGCAAAAAAAGUGUCGGAUUUGAGUCGUGUUGAUGAAUAGUAUCAAACUUUGCACCUUGCUUGAGCUAAGCAAGAACUACAGAAGACCUCAGUAUACCUCUCCCCAAACAAUAUAUACAUGCCAAUAGUUUUCUUGUCAAAGGAGUUGAGUUUUUGAUGGAGGUUGUGUUAAUGCCAAGUUAUAAACAAAUUAAAAAGGUUAGAAAUGUGUCUUUAAUAUAUAAAAUUACUGCAGCAUGAUUUAGGAGAACUGGGAAUUAGUUUUCAUGAUUAUUGUGUUUUACAAACUAUGUCUUGCACUUAUCUUAUGUCAAUAUUCACACUUUUUCUAGUCACGCAUUAUCAUCUUAGUUCAAUUCAUGUCUGUUGUCUUGCGGAUUUUUUCAAGAAAGGAAAAUUUUAUCAGAAAAAGGUAAAAUGUUUAGUUUCCUGCAUAUCGCAUGGUUUGCAUGUGUUAUUGUGCUUCCUUAUGGCACCAUUUGAUAAAAUUGGGAUGUUAAAUAUCUAACACUACCUUGAAGUUGCCCAUGACAAAAAUAAAUGAAACAUCCCAUCACCAUCAAAACUUUCUUCCAUCAAAUAUCCAUUCAAACUGCUAAGAAAAUAAUUCAGGAUGGGAGAGAAAUGUCUUAACAAAAGAAUGAAGAUUGUCCCUGUUUUUCAUUUUUUGUAAAGGUAAUAGAAUCAUACUAUUGUUAGAUACUCAAAGAAAGGGUAUCAUUAGGUUUAGGAAAACUUGUUCAAAGGACUGGAAUACUAAUUAUACUAAAUUCUACAUAUAUUAGUGUUGCCAAUACUUUAAAAUAAAAUUAAGAACUAAACAACAAAAGACAACACUAUCUCAUGACAGGCAAAGCAAGGCUCACUAAUCAUGCUAGUGCCAUCAUCACUGAUAAAUUAAUAUGUUAAUCACCCACUCUAGGCCUCACUGGGGCAGAAUGAUACCUAAGCAACCAAUUGAGCGAAUUGAUAGCAUUAACAAAGGUUAACAACUUCAUUGUAAAACAUAAUAAACAUUCAAUUGAGCACAUACUCAAACUAACUUGCAUAUCCAUAGAAUGCAACCACAACAAGUGUUACAGUUGUGCCAAAGUGUUCUUGUCUAUCCCAAUGCGUGGGUGUCUCCAAAACCAAAUAAAAAAUAAAAAAAUAGAAAUAAUAAAAAUGAUAGAUAGCAAUUAAGCAGCUCUAACAAUUAAUUUGAAGAAUUAGCAUUGGCACAAAAUGGUCAAUGUAAAUGAGGAAAGCAACCUGAAUAUGUUGUAAUCUCUCCAAAAUAUUAAUUAUAAGGCUUAAUUUAUGGUGAUGCAACAAUGAGGACAAAAUGCAGUAGUCAUCAAACUCAUUCUUUCACUACUAAAUAUUAAGUAAAAAAUUUUACUUAUGUAAAUAUCAUUCCUUUAUCAUAAUUCUCAUUCAAGCAUUAUUAGACGCCAUUCUAUCUUUUAAGUAAAAAAUUUUACUUACGUCAAUAUCAUUCCUUUAUCAUAAUUCUCAUUCAAGCAUUAUUAGAUGCCAUUCUAUCUUUUAAGUAAAUAACCAACAAUCAAGGAGAGGUUUCUUAUCAUGACCUUUAACAUAGAGAGAAUAAUGGUUGAGAAGUAGUUCAUAAUGAAAUAUACUUGGAGAAAAGUAACAAGAUAUACCCCACAAAAGGUAAUGUCAAGCCUCCCAACACUCUUGGGGCUUACUUGACAACAUUUGUUUUAAGAAAUGCUCAAUUCAAAUAUGGGGAGUUCAUUGUAAUCAACAUAUCCUAGCACUCUUAAGAAUUCCCAAAAGAAUGAACUAUAAAAGAUGGCCCCAAAAUUGAUUAACUUAAAUCCCUCAGAGAACAUUGCCUAACAUGAUCAUGUUUAUUUAUUCUUUGAUGUUAGGGUACCAAUCUUGAAAUUGAACCUUACUUUUAACUCAGUGCAACCACAGAGUAACUCCUCAAGGUUAGAAAUAUGGACUGCUCGUCCUCUUUUCUCAGCCACACAACCCAAGUAGAGAGACCUGGAGAGAAGUAAGUGGACAAUGCUAAUAACUUGUUGCUUGAAAUAGGUAAGAACUAAAGAUUAAACUAUUGCUAAUUUAGACCAAACUAUUACUAGUUUAGAACUAGUAAACAGAUUUAUACUGAUGAAAACAUCAAUCCACACUAGAUUCUUAAGCACCAAAACAAGAGAAGAAAAGGCAAACCUUAAAUCCUUGCAUUGACCUCCAAUCAGAGAAAGCAGCCUCCCACUAAAAUCAGCACAAUUGAGGAGAGAAAUCUCAUGCAAAGAUGGCCGAACCAGAUGUUCAAUUGAUGAAUCAUCAAGUUUACUGCAAUCAACUUUCAAACUCCUAAGAUAAGGAUUUGGUGGCAGCAAAGGCCUCAGCAAGUUGAUUGAGAGUGCAACAUCCUGAAUUGAAAAUACCCAAAAAAAUUAUAAAAAAAAUGAACACAUCAAAUCUAAGAACAGUUAGCUACCAAGAAACUCAACUGAAUGGGGGAAAAAGAGAAAGAAUAUAAAUUUUAGAAUUUCGAAUUUGAGAAUCUUAUAAUCUUCAACAUUUGAAGAACCGCUAAAGAAUUAAAACAAAAACAUCAAACUCAUGCUCACUUUGGUUGAGCCGAAACUGAAGGCAAACAAAAACAAUCAAAAUUAACGAUCAUGAAAAUCGGGAUAUUAAAAUUCGAUCCCGAUAUGGAAUUCGAACUCAAUAGAAUUCGAAAUUCAUGCUACCGCGGUGGAGAUUUUAUACAUUUUGGAUCUACAAAUCUAAACAAGGAUCCUAUUCCGAACCCUCCUUUCGAGGCAGACGAUAAAACAAAGAAAAAUCAACCUAAAAUCAAACAACCAGUGGCUUCUCUAAGUUGAAAUUUCAAAAAAAAAUUUAUCGACAAAAACAACAAGGACAAAUUAAUAAACAGAAUAAAACUCAAACUUCUGCUUUCGUUUCGUGUUUUUAGCUUCUAGUUUUUUCCCCCCUCGAAAUCCAAACAAAGAACCAGGGUUUGAAAGAGAUUUGACUCACGAGGAGAUGGAAAUUGGGGAGGAAGUGGAAGAUUUGAGAAGCGCAUGAGCGGAUGGUAGUGCACGUGGACGCUAGGGAGCGAAUCGAGGAGACGUCGAGCUUCGUCAUGAUCGUUGCCAGCAGUGCCGCCGGCAACUGCUCCAGAGCCCCUCCGGCGGCUUCGCUAUUCGCCAUUCUCUCUCUCCCGAUCUCUCGAUCUCAAUCCCGAUCGAUGUUUCAGGCGGAUAUGUGUUCCGCUGUGGAAGGGGCCAGGGUCAGUUUUGUAGGUCCAUGUGAAACCGUGACACGCCAGCAUAAAGGGUGAUUGGACUUAGGGUGCGUUUGCCAAAGCCAAAUUAAGGGGGAAAUGGAUUUUAGCACGGGCAAUUGCCUUUGUUAUAAAAAUUAAUUUAUUAAAUACAUAACCUUCGUUUUGUUUACGGAUAAAAGUAUAUUUGUGAUCUCAAUUUUACUUUUUUAAUCUGAUAAAAGACUCUUAUUAAAGUUCAUAAAUCUUGUCCUAACACACUUCCCCAAACUUAUUCAAUAGUUGUAAUUUUUUCAUGGUAAUAUCUAUUAUCACAAAAGUGUGAAAGAAAAAAAAAAAAAAAUGUUAUCCGAAUGGAGUGGCGAACCAAUUGGAUACACAUCAGACAGAAGUAUCGAUGGUAAAGCCUCUUUCCGCGGCGAAGUCCACAAAGCUGUAAAGCGGAACGACGCUGUCGCCAUACUUGUCGAAUCCACUCAACUCUCUCUUCGCCUUGGCUCGAAGCUCCUCCGCCACUUCCAUGGCCUUCUCCAUACCGUACACGUCCACAUAGCUCUUCCCUUUCUUUUUCUUCUCUUCGUCUUCCUCACUCUUCGUCUUCGCUUUCAGCACAUCGUCCACCACCUGGUACAACAUCCCGACAGCUCGGCCGUAUCUCCUAAGGCGUAGGAUAUCAUCGUCGGCGGCGCCGCCCAGGAACCCGCCACAAACAGCGGAGCACUCAGCCAUCUCGCCGAACUUCUUGCGCUGGACGAAGUCGACGGAGUUGGGGGCGCCCUCGAGGUCGAGGAACUGGCCGGCGGCCAUGCCGGUGGAGCCGACGGAGCGGGCGAUUUCCGCGAUGACGCGGAUGAGCUGGCCCUCUGGGACGAGGUGGGAAGGGGUGUGGGAGACGAUGUGGCGGAAUCCGAGGGGGAAGAGGGCGUCGCCGGCGAGAAUGGCCAUGUCGACGCCGUAGACGGUGUGGUUCGAGGGCUGGCCCCGCCGGGAGGGGUCAUCGUCCAUGCAGGGAAGGUCGUCGUGAAUCAGUGAAGCCGCGUGAACCUGUUAACAAAAAUAUCCAAACUUUAAUACAGAAUCUAUAGUGCAGAAGGGAAAGAAAAUGACAAAUAGAACGGAAGAAAAUAAAAUUAUGGCUUUUUCCUAUGCUAAUCCCUUGAAUUAUUUCACAAGAAGUAGUUUCAUGGGUCGAUUUGCCAUUGCCUUUGACUGAGAAUGAAAUGCAUUUUGAAUUCACAAACCAUUCUUCUUUCAUGAGUAACUUGUUUCUAAAAUUAGCCAUUAAUUCAAACUACCUAUAAGUUUCUCAGACACCAAACAUUCCUUUAAGCUGACUUCACAGACAACCAAGUUUGGUGGGGGGAUCCUCUGUAGACAAAACAAUUUGAUUUAUGACCUUUUUCUUUCAUGAGUAAUUUGUUUCUGAAAUUAUUCAAACUACCUGUAAGUUUCUCAGACGCCCAAACAUUCCCUUAAGCUGACUUCACAAACAACCAAACUUGGCGCCGAAUCACAUCCCUAAUAAUCAUUUUAGUAACCAAUUCCAUGUUUCUUAAAAUAUAGUUUGUGACAUUUUUGUUAAAUUAACGUAUCAUACUCUAUAAGCUCUCAGCUUCCUCAACCGUAUACAUAGAAAAUUUCAAAUUUCUACCAAAAAUUCACUUAAUCGUUGUCUCUUAAGCUAUAGAUUCUACCGUUUUUCUUAAAUUAACAUAUCAUCCUCUCUGAACUUUCAGCUUCCUCAACCAUAACAAAAGAAAAUUUCAAAUUUCUACCAAAACUUCACUUAAUUCCAACUUUCUGAAACUACAGGUUGUAACAUUUUUCUUAAAUUAACAAGCCAUCCUACAUGAACUUUCUGCUUCCACAAUAUUAUCACAGAAAAAGAAAAGUAGAAAGCUGAUUCGCAGGCAAAAACGUGAAACACAAGAGUCAAAAUCAAAACGAGAAAAGCGUGACAACUGACAUGAGCGAGUGAGAUUAGGGUUUGUUUUGGCCGUACCAUUUCUAGGGCACAGGCGGUCGGAAAGGCAGCAAGGCGGUCGCCGCCGAAAAGCUCACAGACGGCGACGCACAUCACCGGGGGAGCUCGCUUCCCGCCUUUUGCUAGCACGGAGUAGCGCAUGGCUUCGUAGAUCUGUUGCGGAUACUUCACCGGAAUGGCUUCCUCGAGCUUGGUGUUGAUCUCUGAAAUCAGGGUGGUCCAGUAGGAACGGAGAUCGAACUGCAUUGAUUUUGACGGUGAGACUGAAAUUGAAGGAGAAGUGCAUCGAAUUGUGCGUGGUAGGUUCAGAGAAGAUCGGUUCGGAAGGCGGUGGUGGAGGCGGGCAGCGGAGGGCAGCGAUAGAGCGGUUGUGAACGCCAUGGCAGACCGCCCCUCUCUCUCUCUCUCUCUCUCUAUCUAUUCUCUGACCAACUGAGUGGGACUGCGAGGACGCUUUGCUCGGCCUGUUUUUGUCUAUGAAUGGGAUCCACGUGGCACAAUUUUCCAGCAUUCUGGCCCUUUUCACCAGUGGACUUGAAGAAAAUUACGGCAUGGUUUCAAAAUGGAAAUAGCAUAAAUUAAAUUUAAAUUAAGAUAAAAUUGAAGAAAUUUAAUUGGAAUUUUACAACUUGUGUGAGGGAUGGAUGAAUAUCGGAAAAAAAAAAAAUCAAUUUUGCUAACAAUACCUUUUCACGCAAUUCUUUUGCAACUUGGAUAGAUUGAUCGAGUUGAUGAGUAAUCUAAACCCAAUUUGAAUUAAGAAAUAAUCACCCCGAAAUACUCUAGUCAAGCUCAAUCUAACUUUAUAUUUCUAAACUCAAGUUGAGUUCGGAUUACUUAAAUUAAACUUUAGUUAUUGAGCGAGUUUGUUAGGUUGUAUAAUUCAAAAUCUAUUUAUAAUAUUAUUUUAAUGUAUUUAUAUAUGAAAAAUUAAAUAACAAAUAUAACACAAUUUCAAGAAAAUGAGAGAAGAAAAAACAUAAAUUUAUAUAUUUUCUAAAAAAAAUAAAAAACAUAUGAUAUAAUUUUAUUUUUUUCUUACAAAUAGAAAAUAAAAUAAAUAUGAUUAUAUAUGAUAAAAUGUAUUAUAAAUAUUAUGAAAAUAUUAAAUAAGUUUGAGUAGGUGCAAGUUAGCUAACCUUAGCCCAAGUCCCAUCCAAAUUGAACUUGGAUUGAAAAAAUCUAACUCAAAUUAUUUAUAUUAUUUAAAAUCAGUUUUCUUUCUAAAUAAAUGGGUAGAUUUUUAAUGUGCAUUAUUUAUAUAGAUUUAUCAUUAUUUUAUUUUGAUGAUUAGUAGUAAAUCAGAUCUUGACAUAAAUUCAAAAUUAAAUUACUCAUAAAAACAAUAAAGAAUUGUAAAGAAAAACUUAUAAAAUAAUUUUGACAACAAUUUUUAAAAAAUAAUUCUUAAUUAUUGUCAGGCAACUUAAAUAUCGAUAAAGGUAUUUUAUACUCACUUGGUGUUUUUUUAAUUAAAUAGAAUUUAAUUUAAUUUAAUUUUAAAUAAAAUUUAAUAGUAUUGAGUAUUAAAUUGUUUGUUAUUUUAUUAUUAAUUUCUAUUAAGUAUUAAUGGGACAAAAGUUGUGUUGAAAUUGUUUUAAAAUUCUAAUUUUUGCAUUAAGAAAAAAUUCAAAAAUUUUGUUUUUUUUUUCUAUUAAGCACAAAAAAUUUUAAACAUAAAAAUUAAAAACAAACGAUUUAAAGUCUAAAUGUAAAUUGUAUUUGAUAUUAAGUUAAAAAAACAAACAACAUCUUAGUAAAUUUUUUUAAGGUAUUUUCAAUUAUUUAUUAGAACACUUUAAAAAAACAAAUGAAAUUACCUUAAAUUUACUUUUAAAAAAUUACAUAUUUUGAUAAUAAAUUCUUAAAAAUAUGUUUUAUAUGAAAAGUUUCGAUAUAUCUAACUAUCUAAGUUGGGGUGAUUUAAUAGAAUUUAAUAUUUAUUAUAUAAUGAUUUAAAUUGACUUUAAGUUAAAUUAUUUUUAGGUUCUUGACCUAAAAUUUAUUACUUAAUUUUUAUUUUAAGUAUUAAGGUUUUUUUUUUUUAAUAAAAUUAAUUUAAAAUUUAUUCGUAAUCAUAAAAUUGAUAUAUUUAUACUUAUAAAUUAUAAUCAAGACAAAGGAGAUUGAGUAAUAAAGGUUCUAAAGUAACAAAAGAAAUCAUGAAGGUAAUUAGGGAAAAUUGAGAUAAAAAUAUAAAAUAAAAAUCUGGACUUAAGAAUAAGUUAAUUGUUUUUAUUUAUUACUUAAAUUUAUUUUUAAUUUUGAGUUAUACUGUUAAUUAUUUUACUAAACAUAUUUAACUUAUUUAAUAACUUAAAUUAAGUUAUUAAGUCAUUUUAAGUUAUUAAGUUGGUGUACCAAAUAUUAAACUAGUAUCUGUUUUUAGCUUUUUGUUUAUAAUUUUAAAACACAAAAAAUAAUAAUAAUUUUUAUACAAAGUACAAAAUUUUUUUAAAAACUCAUCUCGAAAACAUAAUGAUUUUUUAAAAUUGAUUAAAAAAUAUUGAGAUAUUAAAAAAUGUUUAUUACCUCACAUUAAAAAAAUUUUGAAAGUAAUUUUUAAGGACUUAAAGAAAAGUACAAACCGUACACUUAUACAAAAAAUUUCAUUUUUAAAUAUCAAAAAUUGAAAAUACCUUCAAAUUAAGUCUUUAAAAACAAUAUUUUUAUUUAAAAAAUAAAUAAAACAAUUGUUUUCAAAAUCAAUUUCCAAACAUAAACUUAGGGGCUGGAGGCAGAAAGCUAGCAAAAUUAGCAUGAGUAGAAUUUUCACAAUAAAUUUAUAUUGAAAGUAAAAAAAACACUAGAGAUUAAAUUUAACAUUUUAAAACCAUUUUUAAACCCUAAAAAAGCUUAUAAAUGUCUAAGAAUUUUCCCAAUAAAUUUAUAGANNNNNNNNNNNNNNNNNNNNNNNNNNNNNNNNNNNNNNNNNNNNNNNNNNNNNNNNNNNNNNNNNNNNNNNNNNNNNNNNNNNNNNNNNNNNNNNNNNNNAGAAACUUUUUAAGUAAAUCUAGCAGCUGAAGACCUGGAAACCCAGACCAGCUAAUCCUGUUGGGGGUAUCGAUAAAUUUAAAGCUUGAUCAAGGAAAACAAUGCGGCAGAGAGAACAAAUUGAAAAUUUGAAUCCACAAAUAUACAAUUCUGAGUUUAUACAAGAUUUGUAACCGCAUAAGCAUGCAAAGAUCCAUGGAGGAUCAAUUGAUAAAUUUUCCAAUCAAACCUGAUGGCUCAGCAAAUCUGGAGCAGCACUGUCAGAAGGGCUUUCUGAUGGAGGUUCAAGUCAGAAAACCAAGCCGAGACUGUCUGAAGUAAAGUCUAUAAUUUAAGAGUCAAAUUUUCUACAUAAAACUAGCGAAGGAGAAGUAACAAGUAACAAAUAAAUACAUAAAAAAGUACAACAAUCUUGUCUUGGAAAUCACUCGACAAUUUCUCCAUUGUUUUCAACUUCUUCCAUCUCUUCAUCGUCACUCUCAUCCCCUCCUUCGAGCAGCCACUGUUCAAGUUCAUCCAUUUCUUCAUUAUCAUGCAUGUACAAACCAUCCCAGUGGUCAGUCCCUAGCUCCUCACCAUGGCAUGCCACAUGCAAGAAGGGUCUACUUCUAGCUAAAGCGUCUACCAUGUCUCUGUUCACGCUUCCUGUCACUCCCAACCAUCUCAGUCUGGGAAAGUAAGGGUUCUUUAACCACCGGAAAGAAAGAGAUGUAAUGCCACCACAGUUAUAAAGAUCCAACACCCGCAAACUACUGCCAUGUGAUCUAUGAUCGUCAACCUGCAUUGAGGCUAAUGCCAUGAUUGAACUGUCACCUAUGAGUGGACAUUGUCGCAUCCUGAGUUCAAGAAUUGGAACACGACUUUUAGCCAGCGAGAAUAUUCCAUUAUCAGAUAGGUUAGGAAGAUUAGAUAGGUCCAAUUCUUGCAACUCCUGUUUGGAAGAGGGAUCAAAUAGAGCAGAGAUGCAUUUAUCCGUAAGCCUUUUGCACCCUCUAAUGGACAAUGAAACUAGUGAGCCUAUCACUCCCUCUCUCAAGUAUGACAAACCCGCAUCUGUAAUAUCAGACCCAUCCAAUAGUAAAAUCUUCAAUUUAUGAAGAGUGCUGAUGGCUUGGAGGGCUUCAUCCCCAAGGUUCCUGCAGUCUCUCAAGUCAAGAACCCUAAGAUCCAAGUUGGAUGCCAAACUUAUGACUGCCUGGUUUCUCAAAAGAUUACACCAUCUCAAGCUGACAUGUGUCAAAGAAAGGGAAGUUGCUGAAAUAUCAAGAAAAACCAGAUUAGUCAAUAGCAUUCCAUGAGACACCCUAAGCUUGUAUAAGGUCGAGCACGAGUGCAGGAUUGUUUUGAAACCAGAAUCUGUUACACGACAAAAGCCACCAAGACAUAUACUUUCCAUACUAGAGCAUCUGUCGGCCAUUAGGAGGAUUCCUAGAUCGUUAACUCGUUUGAAGUAUGUAAUUAGGAACUCCUGGCUACGAACCAAGGAGAGGUGUUUCAACUUCCCACGUUGAUUAAUCUGUUGAAAACCGGAGUUCGUGAGGUCAAAUGUGACUCUUGGUUCAAUGAUGGGUGCAUCUCGAAGAUCCAGAUGAGUUAAGUUGAUGAGACAUUUAGAUACUGUCUCAACCAUAGUGUCAGUAAUAUAAUCCACUGAGAGGCACAAUCUCUGAAGACUCGGCAAUAUGGAUGGCCGGAGAUGAUUUGGGGGCUGAUGGGGUCCCACAUUAGGGCUGAGCAGUUCAGUCACCAUCACUGAAGAAACAUAGCCAAUCUCAAGACUUGUGAGAUUCUCUGAAGCCAAAGACCAGGCUCGAGCAAAAUUAUAANNNNNNNNNNNNNNNNNNNNNNNNNNNNNNNNNNNNNNNNNNNNNNNNNNNNNNNNNNNNNNNNNNNNNNNNNNNNNNNNNNNNNNNNNNNNNNNNNNNNGAAGAAACAUAGGCAAUCUCAAGACUUGUGAGAUUCUUUGAAGCCAAAGACCAGGCUCGAGCAAAAUUAUAACGAGGAAAUAGUGAAAUAUCGAACAUCAGGCUUAGCGUCUACAAAAAUGAAAUUGGAAAAAUGAACAACUAGUAGAUGGAAAAAACGCUACAGAAAUGAAUCAAAUGAUAUAUAUAUAUAUAAAGUACAAAAUUUGAAACAUCUAUGAAUCAUCUAUAAUUAAGAAUGAAAAUCAUGUCAAUUCAAAGGAGAAAUAAUCAAUCAACUUAACCAUUUAAAGUGUGAAUAGGGUGCAAAUUGAACAGGCUUUCCUAAGCUCCAGCUGGAAACAGACUGAGCUGUACCUAGUUCGCACUGGGCUGAGAAGCAGGCCUUACUGAGCCCCAGUUCAGGAACAGCCUGUCCCUACAGGUCUUGUAUUGAUAUUACAUUGCAGGCAAACUUUGGUUCUCAAUGUCAAGAUCUAAGGUCCAACCUUUUUCCCCACUGAUAAAUAAAUAAGAAAAUAUUAUAAAAGGAAGUUAUACACCAAGGUACACAGGAUGUAAACUAUGGGUACCAGAAGAUGUUGCCUUAAAGAGAGAGAACACAAAAAAGAACUACUCCUUCCCUCAGCUAGGUCCAACUGCUAAGUAGUGUGUGUCUUCCAUUAAACUGUUUGUGUCCCAUUUUGUGCACAACAUGUGCACCAAGGAUGAGUGUUGGAUGAGCACAAAUGACAAAAUAAGCCCAGCUGCAAAUUGAACUAUGAACAUGCCUGAUGGAUUGGUGGCCUAUGGGUCAAUUUAUGCAGAGGCAGAUGUUAUUCUUUGUCCACAUGGCCAUUGCAGCAUUGUGCUCCAAAUUACCUCCCAUGCCAAGGCAUGAUAGCACUUUUAUGGAUGCCCACUCUUCUAGUAGAUGUUUAAGCUCCUUGAAUGCCGCCCUUGGCCAACACAGAGGGCACCAACAGACCAAAGGCUAACUUGGAUGCAUCUCCAUGUUGCUUAAAAGGCUCAUCUCUCCCAACUCUCAGCUUGGUCCCCUUGGGGUUAAAGUAUUUGCCCUUCCAACUGUGCACUUGGCACAAAGGGUUCCGAGUGGGUUCCUUCUUCUCUUGAUGACCUCCCUCGAGUUAAAAAUCAAGAAUUUCUACAUGUUCAAAGAGAUAGUCAACCCCCUAUAUUUAUUACUGGCACUAAAGGGUUAGAUAAGGUGCCUCUUGGCAUAAUGUCUUGAUGCUUUGUGCUCGCCCAAGUUAAGGAGACACACUCGAGGAGCCCAACACAUGCAUAGGAGGUGUAGUGAGGUAGGUAGAGAUUGACCGCAUGCCACAACCAUUUUAGUUAAAUUGAAAGGAUGGGACAAUUCAUCAUUGUCCUCAGAAACAUCAUCUGCAUGCGAUGACAUGCUGAUGGAGCGGUUCAUCAAGACCCUAGUUGAAUCCAUUACAAGCUUACUCUCCUAAACUCACUAGACCUAUCUACACUUGUGCCUCUUGUAGGGGUCAUCAUUGAUUUUGAGCCUGUAAGAUUCCUUUCAUAGAGUGGCUUAGUGAGAGCAAAACCCAUCUUUGGUUCUAGGUCUACCCAGCUAGCUAGGCACCCCUCCAUAAGCUUAGCCUAGGGCAAAGCUUAAUUUUUUCAUUGAUUGGGCUUGUGAUCCAUCCAGUUGGCACUGUCUAAGUCCUCAUAUAAUGACCCAAUGGGUGAAUAUGGCAAGGGGUUAAAACAUUUUCAAGUCUCAAGCCCAAGUUAAGAUACACUCUUAAGUCUGCUUCCACCUUCUCUAACCCCCUCCCACCUUGUCACCUAUUUUGUUUACUCCUCAAGCUUGAACAUCUUACCAUCCACAUGACUAAAUCUCUCCAACAAGAACUACAACAAACAUGUACAAAAUAAAUAAUUUAGUCAAGAUAAUCUGUUAUGCCCAAUCUCCAAUAUUUUCAUUCAUAAAAAACUUGAUAAUUGCUAACUUCAUAAAAAGGCCUUGGGCUCAAAUCAAGCUCAAGCUUAAGAAUGAUAAUUCAUGUUGGUAGAUUGUGUUCUUGUUGUGUCAAAACUUAGACACUCGACUAAAUAGGUCAAUCCAAACACGACAUGAAUAAUAAACAAGUUAAGAACACAAACCCAAACAUAACUUAAUUAUCAAACAGGUAAACCCACUUAAUAGGUCCUAUUUAAUAAUUAGAUCGAGUUAGAUCUUGUUUAAAUCAAUAUGAUUAAUCUCCCAACCUAACAUAUUUAUGACUCAAUUAACU
rnacentral:lncRNA from 1 species